rnacentral:rRNA from 1 species
UACGAAGGGGGCUAGCGUUGCUCGGAAUCACUGGGCGUAAAGCGCACGUAGGCGGAUUUUUAAGUCAGGGGUGAAAUCCUGGAGCUCAACUCCAGAACUGCCUUUGGUACUGGGAAUCUCGAGUCCGGGAGAGGUGAGUGGAACUGCGAGUGUAGAGGUGAAAUUCGUAGAUAUUCGGAAGAACACCAGUGGCGAAGGCGGCUCACUGGUCCGGUACUGACGCUGAGGUGCGAAAGCGUGGGGAGCAAACAGG